UAUUGUAUUUUUGCGCCAGCGGG
rnacentral:miRNA from 1 species